AAAAAAAUGUGUUUAAGCAAAGUAAAGAUCUUGGAUGUGGACCAUUAGAGCCAAUUCUACUUCUGCCGAUAUCGCUGAACUAAAGGCAGCAGCAAAUCAUCGCAGAAGUACUUACACAGCACUUUUUUUAAUCCACAGAUCUCCAAGUGCUCUACAAAGGUCUCCCGGCACAUACACAACUAAGUUCAGUGCUAGUGUAACUGGACACAGCCCUUGAUCCCCCAGCUUAACUGAGGAGCCUACAUCUGCUGUGAACCUGUCCCAGCCUACCACAGGAGAAGGUGGAAAAUGAAGAUCAGAAAUAUGGAGUCAAUGCCAGAAACACAGACAAGAGAAGCACCACAUAUCUUUCAGUCUUGAUUGCUAAGUAAUAGCUAUAGAUUGGGCAAACUGAGAAAGCAGUGAAUCAUUGUAUCUUCAAGGUAAAGCAAUUCUAAGACUCAAUCUUAUCACCUGGAAGUGAGGCAGAAGCCCCUGGAAAUAUAUCUUGUGAAA